rnacentral:rRNA from 1 species
UACGAAGGGGGCUAGCGUUGCUCGGAAUCACUGGGCGUAAAGGGUGCGUAGGCGGGUCUUUAAGUCAGGGGUGAAAUCCUGGAGCUCAACUCCAGAACUGCCUUUGAUACUGAAGAUCUUGAGUUCGGGAGAGGUGAGUGGAACUGCGAGUGUAGAGGUGAAAUUCGUAGAUAUUAGCUAGAACACCAGUGGCGAAGGCGGCCAACUGGUCCGGUACUGACGCUGAGGUGCGAAAGCGUGGGGAGCAAACAGGGAU